AACGAACGCUGGCGGCAUGCCUAACACAUGCAAGUCGAACGAGAUCUUCGGGUCUAGUGGCGCACGGGUGCGCAACGCGUGGGAAUCUGCCCUUUGGUUCGGAAUAACAGUUGGAAACGACUGCUAAUACCGGAUGAUGACGAAAGUCCAAAGAUUUAUCGCCAGAGGAUGAGCCCGCGUAGGAUUAGCUAGUUGGUGUGGUAAAGGCGCACCAAGGCGACGAUCCUUAGCUGGUCUGAGAGGAUGAUCAGCCACACUGGGACUGAGACACGGCCCAGACUCCUACGGGAGGCAGCAGUGGGGAAUAUUGGACAAUGGGCGAAAGCCUGAUCCAGCAAUGCCGCGUGAGUGAUGAAGGCCUUAGGGUUGUAAAGCUCUUUUACCCGGGAUGAUAAUGACAGUACCGGGAGAAUAAGCACCGGCUAACUCCGUGCCAGCCGCCGCAGUAACAC
rnacentral:rRNA from 1 species